rnacentral:lncRNA from 1 species
AUUACUGAAAAUAUCAAUGAAGAUAUAAUUCUUGGUGUGCUUUCAUAAGUCAGUUAAAACCUUACACUGAUGAUUUGGGUGGCAUUCAUGCAUGUAUCCUUGGUCAAAAGGUAUUUUUUCCUUUUGUUAAAUCUCUUUCUCAUGAAGAAAGCCUGUUUUUAAAGGAUAACACUGUUUUUAAAAUUAAUCAUCUUUCUAAUCAUAUUUCUUUUAUUAAGGAAGAAAUAAAGAUUGAACUAAUUAAACAAACUUUAAAAACCCCGGGAAUGGUGGCUAAGAUCGAU